rnacentral:rRNA from 1 species
AUUGAACGCUGGCGGCAGGCUUAACACAUGCAAGUCGAGCGGAGAUGAGGUGCUUGCACCUUAUCUUAGCGGCGGACGGGUGAGUAAUGCUUAGGAAUCUGCCAUUUAGUGGGGGACAACAUUCCGAAAGGAAUGCUAAUACCGCAUACGUCCUACGGGAGAAAGCAGGGGAUCUUCGGACCUUGCGCUAAAUGAUGAGCCUAAGUCGGAUUAGCUAGUUGGUGGGGUAAAGGCCUACCAAGGCGACGAUCUGUAGCGGGUCUGAGAGGAUGAUCCGCCACACUGGGACUGAGACACGGCCCAGACUCCUACGGGAGGCAGCAGUGGGGAAUAUUGGACAAUGGGCGGAAGCCUGAUCCAGCCAUGCCGCGUGUGUGAAGAAGGCCUUUGGUUGUAAAGCACUUUAAGCGAGGAGGAGGCUCUCCUAGUUAAUACCUAGGAUGAGUGGACGUUACUCGCAGAAUAAGCACCGGCUAACUCUGUG